rnacentral:rRNA from 1 species
CAGUCGCCGCGGUAAUACGAAGGGUGCAAGCGUUACUCGGAAUUACUGGGCGUAAAGCGUGCGUAGGUGGUGGUUUAAGUCCGUUGUGAAAGCCCUGGGCUCAACCUGGGAAUUGCAGUGGAUACUGGGUCACUAGAGUGUGGUAGAGGAUGGUGGAAUUCCCGGUGUAGCGGUGAAAUGCGUAGAGAUCGGGAGGAACAUCAGUGGCGAAGGCGGCCAUCUGGGACAACACUGACGCUGAGGCACGAAAGCGUGGGGAGCAAACAGGAUUAGAUACCCCCGUAGUCCCUGUCUCUUAUAC